rnacentral:rRNA from 1 species
GACGAACGCUGGCGGCGUGCUUAACACAUGCAAGUCGAACGGAAAGGCCCUGCGUUUGUGGGGUGCUCGAGUGGCGAACGGGGGAGUAACACGUGAGUAUCCCGCCCUUGACUGUGGGGUAAAUUCAGGAAACUGGGGCGCAUACCCGAUAGGAGCUCCUGCUGCACGGUGGGGGUCGGAGAGUUUCGGCUGUUGGGGAUGGACUCGCGGCUUAUCAGCUGGUUUGUGGGGUAGUGGCUUACCAAGGUUUUGACGGGUAGCCGGCCUGAGAGGGUGACCAGCGACAUGGGGACUGAGAUACGGACCAGAAUCCUACGGGCGGCAGCAGUGGAGAAUAUGACACAAUGGGCGGACGCGUGAUGCAGCAACGCCGCGUGCGGGAUGACGGCCUUCGGGUUGUAAACCAAUUUCGCCUGUGACGAAGCGUGAGUGACGGUAAUGGAUAAAGAAGCACCGGCUAACUACGUG